rnacentral:lncRNA from 1 species
AAAGAUACUCCCACAAUUUUAAAUUGUACCAAAGAAAAUAACCCAUCUCUAUGGAACUUAUUUCAUACACACACACAUACCCAUGAAUCAUACUUUUUAAUGCCCUUUUUGUACCUUUUUUAGUUUUUCACAUUAUUUACAAUGAAAAUAAUACAAACAUAUACCAGCAACCUCUUCUGCUAAUUUUAAUUCAACCCUGUAAUGCAACCCACCAUUGGCCCAUAUAGUAAAUAAAAUUUGUUCAUUGAGUUAGUAGAUAAUUUAUAAUUUUU